rnacentral:rRNA from 1 species
UGAACCUGCGGAAGGAUCAUUGUCGAACUCAGCAGAAACGCAAAACGACCCGCGAACAUGUUUCUUAACUACCUCGGGGUUAGGGGAAAGCGAAAGCAUUCCCCUCCCUCGACCGUCGGGGGGGGGGUGACUCCCUGACAUCAAAACGAACCCCGGCGCGGAAAGCGCCAAGGAAAACAAACUAGAUUGAGAGAUUGCGUUCGCGCGAACUCCUUACAAUCGAAGAAAACGACUCUCGGCAACGGAUAUCUCGGCUCUCGCAUCGAUGAAGAACGUAGCGAAAUGCGAUACUUGGUGUGAAUUGCAGAAUCCCGUGAACCAUCGAGUCUUUGAACGCAAGUUGCGCCCGAAGCUUUCGGGCUGAGGGCACGUCUGCCUGGGUGUCACGCAACGUCGCCCCACCCCAAUCUUAGUGGGAGGGAGCGUAUGAUGGCCUCCCGUGAGCCAUUGUUUGCGGUUGACCUAAACAUGAGUCCUCGGCGUGGGGUGUGCCACGGCCUUCGGUGGUCGAACGAACGUGAAGCCCUGACGGACACCGUGCGCCUACCCCGACCGUAAAGAGGCACUCAAGACCCUCGUGAAUGUCAAACCUGACUUCCAAUGACGCGACCCCAGGUCAGGCGGGACCACCCGCUGAGUUUAA